AGCGAACGCUGGCGGCAGGCCUAACACAUGCAAGUCGAACGAAGUCUUCGGACUUAGUGGCGGACGGGUGAGUAACACGUGGGAACGUGCCUUUAGGUUCGGAAUAACUCAGGGAAACUUGUGCUAAUACCGAAUGUGCCCUUCGGGGGACAGAUUUAUCGCCUUUAGAGCGGCCCGCGUCUGAUUAGCUAGUUGGUGAGGUAAAGGCUCACCAAGGCGACGAUCAGUAGUUGGUCUGAGAGGAUGAUCAGCCACAUUGGGACUGAGACACGGCCCAAACUCCUACGGGAGGCAGCAGUGGGGAAUCUUGCGCAAUGGGCGAAAGCCUGGCGCAGCCAUGCCGCGUGAAUGAUGAAGGUCUUAGGAUUGUAAAAUUCUUUCACCGGGGACGAUAAUGACGGUACCCGGAGAAGAAGCCCCGGCUAACUUCGUGCCAGCAGCCGCCGUAAGAC
rnacentral:rRNA from 1 species